rnacentral:rRNA from 1 species
AUUGAACGCUGGCGGCAUGCCUUACACAUGCAAGUCGAACGGCAGCGGACCUUCGGGUGCCGGCGAGUGGCGAACGGGUGAGUAAUGUAUCGGAACGUACCUUUCAGUGGGGGAUAACGUAGCGAAAGUUACGCUAAUACCGCAUAUUCUGUGAGCAGGAAAGCAGGGGAUCGCAAGACCUUGCGCUGAUUGAGCGGCCGAUAUCAGAUUAGCUAGUUGGUGAGGUAAAGGCUCACCAAGGCGACGAUCUGUAGCGGGUCUGAGAGGAUGAUCGGCCACACUGGAACUGAGACACGGUCCAGACUCCUACGGGAGGCAGCAGUGGGGAAUUUUGGACAAUGGGGGCAACCCUGAUCCAGCCAUGCCGCGUGAGUGAAGAAGGCCUUCGGGUUGUAAAGCUCUUUCGUCCGGGAAGAAAUUGCACAGUCUAAUAACCUGUGUGGAUGACGGUACCGGAAUAAGAAGCACCGGCUAACUACGUGCCAGCAGCCGCCGUAAGAC